rfam:Musa acuminata subsp. malaccensis Doubled-haploid Pahang (DH-Pahang) genomic chromosome, chr11
GGAUCAAGUGAUGAGGAAACUGCAACAAUAUGAUGGGAAUACUUCUCCAUGAUUCGUUGUAUUUAAGUCUCUGAUGAUA